AUAAAAUUUAAUUUAAAUUUAAAUAAUUUAGUUAUAAUUUAUUUUAUAUAUAAAUUUUUGUUUGUAUUUUAUUAAAAUUUAAAAUUUUAAUUUAUAUAUUUUAUUUUUAGUAAUUUAUUUUAAUUGAUUUUAAGGAAAUUUUUGUUAGUAAAUUAAUUUAAUAUUAGUAAAAAUUGUGCCAGCAACUGCGGUUAUACAAUUAAUAUAAUUAAAUUUUAUUAUUAAGAGUUAUAAAUUUUAUAUUAAUAUAUUUUAAAAUAUAAUUAAUUUUAUUAGGUUAAAUUUUUAAAAUUAUAGUUUUUUAUUUUUAUUUAAUAUUAUUAAAAGCUUGGAAAAUUUAAUUAAAAACUAGGAUUAGAUACCCUAUUAUUUAAAAUGUAAAAAAAAAAUGAUUUAAUAGAUUAAUAAAAGUUAUAUGCUUAAAAUUCAAAAAAUUUGGCGGUGUUUUAAUCUUAUUAGAGGAAUUUGUUUAGUAAUUGAUAAUCCUCAUUAAAUCUUACUUAAAUUUUUAAUUUAUAUAUCGUCGUCAUAAGAAUUUCUAAAAAAAGUAAUAAUUUUCUAAAAUUUAAUAAUGAAUUUAUGUCAGAUCAAGGUGUAGUUUAUGUUUAAGUUAAAAAUGAAUUACAAUAAAGUUAUUUAAAUGGAUAUAAAAUUGAAAUAUUUUAUUUGAAAGUGGAUUUAUUAGUAAAUUUAUUAUAUAAAGUUAGGUUGAAAAUAGUUCUAAAAUAUGUACAUAUUGCCCGUCGCUCUCAUUUUAAGAUGAGAUAAGUCGUAACAUAGUAGAAGUACUGGAAAGUGUUUCUAGAAUGAA
rnacentral:ncRNA from 1 species